CGUGGGUAACCUGCCCAAGAGAUCGGGAUAACACCUGGAAACAGAUGCUAAUACCGGAUAACAACAGAUGAUGCCUAUCAACUGUUUAAAAGAUGGUUCUGCUAUCACUCUUGGAUGGACCUGCGGUGCAUUAGCUAGUUGGUAGGGUAACGGCCUACCAAGGCGAUGAUGCAUAGCCGAGUUGAGAGACUGAUCGGCCACAUUGGGACUGAGACACGGCCCAAACUCCUACGGGAGGCAGCACU
rnacentral:rRNA from 1 species